rnacentral:misc_RNA from 1 species
AAGUCGUAACAAGGUUUCCGUAGGUGAACCUGCGGAAGGAUCAUUACUGAACUGUCGACACGAGUUGUUGCUGGUCCUCGAGAGGGGGCAUGUGCACACUCUGUUUACAUACCCACUCACACCUGUGCACCCUCUGUAGCUCCAUGGUGUGGGGGGCCCUGUCCUCCCACUGUGGUUCUACGUCUUUACACACACACGUUGAUAAGUCUCAUGGAAUGUAUAUAGCGUUUAACGCAAUACAAUACAACUUUCAGCAACGGAUCUCUUGGCUCUC